GAAAAUGUAGCAAACAUGUAUGACCAAAGUUAUAUAGGUUGAAUCAUUUAUCACCUUUACAGAGCUCAUAAUUAUUGUCCUUCAGAACAACAAUACAACAUCUAGCUAUGGUAUAUCAUCAUGUGUCUAUUUUAUUGGAACUAUCAUUCAAAUAAUUGUUUUUGAAUGUUGAAAUUUGACUCAAAAAUCUAAAUUCCUUUGACUGAACAUGAUCUACGACACUCACUAAAUUCUCCUUGUCAUCUUAAAAAGAACUUUAUCAUAUGGAGUUAUGGUUUACAUUUUCCAGCAUCACUUCAACCAAUUAUUAUGCUCAAAACAGGCCCUUAACCUUCAAAUCUAACUAACGAAGUCAAAACUGAAACAUAUAUGAAAUUAUUGUAGGCCGAACAAUGGCCAUCUUAAUCAAAUAUUUAUCGUUAUUUCUUUCAACACAACACAAUCAUUUAAGUGAGAGGAAGAGAUCGUAUACAGUUUGUAUCAUCAACAAAAAAUUUGGAAAGGAAAAAAUUAGGGUCAAGAAAGCAAAAGGGCCAAAUUGCACUUUACAAAAUAGAAGGAACGAGAUUAUGGGUCCAAUAAUUCAGAUAGAAGGAACUAAAAUAUGUCAAACCUUAAUGUCGCAGUCCAAAGCGCCAUAGUUGAAAACGAGAGUCGAAAAACGAGCGAGCAGAGACGUCAGACGAAGAACCGUCGAAGGCGCCCUAACGCACUGAUGAACGGAGGAGAAGGAGCCCUUGACGAAACAGAGGAGAAAAGCCCUAACACAAUGAUGAAUGAGAAUAGCAGCAUGAAUGAAACAGAGAAGCUACGCAGUGAAUGUCGCGGGCAGUGAUAGUGAAUGUCGCGGAGUCGUAGCAGCGGGAAGGAAAAUAUUUUAAUCAUAAUAGGAGAAAGCG
rnacentral:lncRNA from 1 species